rnacentral:misc_RNA from 1 species
GGGCGGACUGUUAACCUCGACCGUGGAGAGAGCGAUCGCUGAGAGCACAGAUAGAUCUGUAUGCUCAGCUGAUAACCGUGAUGCUGAUGGGCUGUUACCACGGAUCCGUGUCGAGCUAACGUGAUAAGCAUCCGCUUGAGACUACGCCACGAGGCUAAAAACUCAAAAGAUAGUCGACGGGGCCCCGCACAGCGGCGGAGCAUGCAGUAUUAUUCGAUGCAACGACGAGCAUCUUUACGUGCGUCUCGACAUGCUCCCGACGAUCACAGAUGAUGGGGGUUUCUCCUUCGGGGGCGUGUUCAGCAGGUGGCAGCAUGGUCGUCGUCAGCUCGUCGUCGAUGAAGAUGUUGGGGUUUAAGCCCCGCAACGAGGCAGCAACUCCUCGCCGCCGUUGUUACCAGAGGAUUAUGCCGGGAACUUCACGGGGGGACCGCGGGGGUUAACUCGGAGGAAGGUGGGGAUGACGUCUGAUCAUCAUCCCCAUUACGUCCAGGUCUUCAAGCAUGCUACAAUGGCCGGUACAACGGGAUGCGCCACGACGAGCUGAAGCGGAUCCCUGAAAACCGUUAUCAGUUCGGAUAGCAUUCUGCAAUUCGACGGGGUGAAGGCGGAGUCGUUAGUAAUCGAGAAUCAGCAACGUGGCGGUGAAUGCGUUCCCGGCCCUUGUCCCCACCGCCCGUCAAGUCAUGAAAGUGGGCACCACCAGAAGCCGGUGGCCUACCCCCUUGGGGGAGGGAGCCUUUUAAGGGGAGGUUGGUGAUGGGGAAUAAGUAGUAACAAGGUAGCCGUACCGGAAGGGGCGGCUGGAUCUCCUCUUUUCUACGAAGAAUACGGCCGGAUGUUCUUCCGGCGGUGCGUCCCCCGGCGUCGCGGCAGUCGCGGCGUUUGGGGGCUGCUGGUGUGGAAGAGAUCAUGGGCUUUCGGUGCGUCCGUGGGGGGAUGUUCCGGGGGAGUGGGGUGGAUGCGCUUUUGGGCUCCCGGAUCGCCCCCCCAGGCUUCGGCCUGGCGCGAUUCGAUGCCCAUCGUGCCUGAUGGCGGGCUGGUCCCGUCCGGACGGCGUGGUGGUGCGUGGUGGCUUGAGAACUGGAUAGUGGACGCGAGCAAGACGGGGUUUCCUUUGAUUCCUCGUUCUUGCUGUUGAUUUCGAAUCGAACUCUAUUUUUAGUGUUUGUUUCGAUCGUUUUGUGAUCAUUUUAGUGUGAUGAUUUGUCGUCUGGGAAUUUGCUAGGAAGGAUCCUUGCGGCCAUGCGCACCGGGGGCCGG